rnacentral:rRNA from 1 species
GACGAACGCUGGCGGCGUGCUUAACACAUGCAAGUCGAACGGAAAGGCCCUGCUUUUGUGGGGUGCUCGAGUGGCGAACGGGUGAGUAACACGUGAGUGACCUGCCCUUGACUUUGGGAUAACUUCAGGAAACUGGGGCUAAUACCGGAUAGGAGCUCCUGCUGCAUGGUGGGGGUUGGAAAGUUUCGGCGGUUGGGGAUGGACUCGCGGCUUAUCAGCUUGUUGGUGGGGUAGUGGCUUACCAAGGCUUUGACGGGUAGCCGGCCUGAGAGGGUGACCGGCCACAUUGGGACUGGGAUACGGCCCAGACUCCUACGGGAGGCAGCAGUGGGGAAUAUUGCACAAUGGGCGGAAGCCUGAUGCAGCAACGCCGCGUGCGGGAUGACGGCCUUCGGGUUGUAAACCGCUUUCGCCUGUGACGAAGCGUGAGUGACGGUAAUGGGUAAAGAAGCACCGGCUAACUACGUG